GGUGUUUGUUAGGCUCCAUCUUAAGUCCAUCCUCUCCCCACCUCAGGAAACUCUCUGACACUCCCAACUGAGAGCUGGAGUCUGCUCCUGAACACAGCCUGCUCAACAUCUGGUCAGCAUCUGGGGUCCAGGGAGCCAGGCACAGGGCAGGCCUGUGUGAGGCUGUUUUCUGGGAAAGUUUGGAGCACGGUACUUCCCCAGGGUUCCCGUGAUGGUGACUCACAGAGCCCAUCUAGUGGUUCUGAAUUUUGGUCCCAGGGGCUCCUGUUCCAAGCAGUAACACUGUCAACGUCUUGAGGGCCCUAGUGUGGCAGAAGAGUCAGAGAAGCUGGAUUCCAGAUUUCCAGAGAAAUGAAAGAAGAUGAGAAGACAAAGAUCUAUACUAAAAUUCUGUUCAAUAUGGACACCUUACUCUGUUGACAUGAGCAAAGGCUGGUGUUGGUUCAAGACAGUGAAGAUGGUCCAAAGCAGUUCUAUUCGAGGAUCACCAGAAAUGAUAAGAUUUCAAGGAAGGCUCGACUUUCCCCAAAAUCACCCAUGUUUUGUUUGUUUUUAUGUUUGUUUUCUGAAUGAAACAGAACAGUUGCCUUUGACCUACUGAGUAGUUCCAUUGAGAAAUAAAUGUGCUUUAAAUUAA